rnacentral:miRNA from 1 species
AAUACAGGACACACGGUUCAAUCUAAAUUUCAGAUAAAUGAUAAAUAUGUUUUAGUAUAAGCUUGUACCAAUGUACUUUGGGGCAUACUUAUGCUGAAGAUUAUUUAUUGUAUAUCUGAAAUUCAAGUUCAGCUGGGUGUCCUGUGUUUU